rnacentral:rRNA from 1 species
GACAGAGGGGGCAAGCGUUGUCCGGAUUGACUGGGCGUACAGCGCGCGCAGGCGGUGAGCUGUGUCCGAUGUGAAAGCCCCGGGCUUAACCUGGGAAUGGCAUUGGAAACUGGCUCGCUGGAGUGUGGCAGAGGGGGGUGGAAUUCCGCGUGUAGCAGUGAAAUGCGUAGAGAUGCGGAGGAACACCGAUGGCGAAGGCAGCCCCCUGGGCUAACACUGACGCUCAGGCACGAAAGCGUGGGGAGCAAACAGG